UACAGAGGGUGCAAACGUUGUUCGGAAUCACUGGGCAUAAAGCGUACGUAGGCGGCGCCGUAAGUGUCGGAUGAAAUCCCACGGCUUACCCGUGGAACGGUCCGGCAUACUGCGGUGCUAGAGGAUGGUAGAGGAGAGCGGAACUCUUGGUGGAGCGGUGAAAUGCGUAGAUAUCAAGAGGAACACCGGUGGCAAAGGCGGCUCUCUGGUCCAUGUCUGACGCUGAGGUACGAAAGCCAGGGGAGCAAACGGG
rnacentral:rRNA from 1 species